GUAACAAGGUUUCCGUAGGUGAACCUGCGGAAGGAUCAUUACCGAGUGCGGGCCCUCUGGGUCCAACCUCCCAUCCGUGUCUAUCUGUACCCUGUUGCUUCGGCGUGGCCACGGCCCGCCGAAGACUAACAUUUGAACACUGUCUGAAGUUUGCAGUCUGAGUUUUUAGUUAAACAAUAAUUAAAACUUUCAACAACGGAUCUCUUGGUUCCGGCAUCGAUGAAGAACGCAGCGAAAUGCGAUAAUUAAUGUGAAUUGCAGAAUUCAGUGAAUCAUCGAGUCUUUGAACGCACAUUGCGCCCCCUGGUAUUCCGGGGGGCAUGCCUGUCCGAGCGUCAUUGCUGCCCUCAAGCACGGCUUGUGUGUUGGGCUUCCGUCCCUGGUAACGGGGACGGGCCCAAAAGGCAGUGGCGGCACCAUGUCUGGUCCUCGAGCGUAUGGGGCUUUGUCACCCGCUCCCGUAGGUCCAGCUGGCAGCUAGCCUCGCAACCAAUCUUUUUAACCAGGUGACCUC
rnacentral:misc_RNA from 1 species